rfam:Myotis brandtii contig281727, whole genome shotgun sequence.
GGUGAUUCUCAGGUGAUGCACCCCCGGAAUCAGGCUCCCUCCUCUCUGGUUCCAGGUGCGUCACCCGAGAACCGCA